rnacentral:tRNA from 1 species
GGUAUUUAGUCUAAAAAGACUGUUGAUUUCGACUCAACCAAAUCUGGUACGACCCCAGAAACACCU